GUACUUGCUUUGCAUUACAUAUAUUGAUUGGAACAAUAUAGAGAAGAUUAGCAUGCCCCUACUCAGGAUGAUGUGCAAAUUCAUGAAACAUUCCAUAUGUUA
ensembl:snRNA U6 U6 spliceosomal RNA